GUCUACGGCCACGCCACCCUGCACAAGCCCAAUCCUGCCUGAUCUCGUAAGCUAAGCAGGGUCAGGCCUGGUUAGUACUUGGAUGGGAGACCACCUAGGAAGACCAGGUGCUGUAGGUG
rfam:Pteropus alecto contig87456, whole genome shotgun sequence.